rnacentral:rRNA from 1 species
UGUUUACCAAAAACAUCACCUCUAGCAUUWCUAGUAUUAGAGGCAAUGCCUGCCCAGUGACAYCAGUUUAACGGCCGCGGUAUUCUGACCGUGCAAAGGUAGCAUAAUCACUUGUUCUCCAAAUAAGGACUUGUAUGAAUGGCCACACGAGGGUUUUACUGUCUCUUACUUCCAAUCCGUGAAAUURACCUUCCCGUGAAGAGGCGGGAAUAUGACAAUAAGANCGAGAAGACCCUAUGGAGCUUUAAUUAACCGACCCAAAGAGAUCUUGAUAAUCAACCGACAGGGAUAACAUACCUCUACCAUGGGCCGACAAUUUAGGUUGGGGUGACCUCGGAGAAUAAAACAACCUCCGAGUGAUUUAAAUCUAGACUAACUAGUCGAAAGUACUACAUCACUUAUUGAUCCAAAAACUUGAUCAACGGAACAAGUUACCCUAGGGAUAACAGCGCAAUCCUAUUUUAGAGUCCAUAUCGACAAUAGGAUUGCGCUG